rnacentral:lncRNA from 1 species
UUAAUAAAAACGUGCUUUCACCAAAACAGGCCUUCAUGCUAAACCAUGGAGAUCCAUGGAGCAGACCUGAUGGCAAGGUUGGCCAGGAUGCUUCACUGCACUGCCCGCUGUAACCGAGGCUUUUACAGCUGGCAAUGAAUGUUGGUGCACAUGGGAUUGUUUCCAGAAGCUAUACCGUGAUGUCCUGCGAAGAUGGUAAUUGGAUUUGGGCACCAUCUUUGAAGAAAUCAGACCUCAAAAAAUGAGCAUAAAUAUCGAUGUAUUGGCCAUGCAUACAGAUGUGAUAAGCUGCGCCUUGGUCCAGUAAUACUGGUCGUGUGUAUUUGUUAAGAAAGCACAAAAUAAACUCAGAGCAGUGGCUUGAAGGGUUCCGGUAGCUGUACUAUUUGUCAUAUUGGUCCCACUUAUCUUUGCAGAAGAAGAAAAACGAGAAGAACAGUGGCGUAGUGAGAUGUGGGACGGCUGCAGGCCCAGGCAGCGCAGUGGCCGAGCUGCUGAAGGCUGUCGGGGCAAGCACCAACAAAGCAGCCAAAACCAGACACGGGAGGCACAGGAGCACAAGGAAGUAGCCGCCAUGUCCUUCGUGUCUCCCUCGCUGCGAUUUUCUGAGAUGUUCUUUGUCUGAUCCAAAGUCUCCAGAACUGCAGCACGGAUGGGUGUAUCCAGCAUCUCUCAGAUUCAAGCUUAUCAUUUUUAACUGUAAAUAUCUGUAUGACUACAGUUACAUGUGUCAGCUUUGAGAUAAUGUCAUGAUUUCAUUGUGGUCAAAGAUCCUGAAAAAGCAAAGCAUGGCUGAUCUCUGCACAGUGCCUGUUUAUGGUAUUAUCUUAACAGUAAACUCACAGCUGAUUGCAGUUUGGCCCUUAUCAGUUUUUCCUGCUAGCAAGAGAUAAAAUCAUUUCAGUUUUCUUAGGAACAGACCCACCUUAAAUAAGACACAUCUUUACAGACAGCUGAGAGGUAAUAGUAACCUUUAUGAUUUAGCAAAAGUACCCUUUCAAUAUAAAAAAUGACCCAAAAGUAGCCACAGCAAUUAAUAAAUGUGUAUGAACAAUGGCUAAUGAAAUCCA